GAGUCCGGCGUGCGCGCGAGCCACGGGGACUUUUUUUUACGAAACCCAGAGGCUCAACGAAAGUGAUUUUGGGGCGCGAUCCCGUCGACGCUUCCAGUCGUCGGCGGGCGCAGCGCCGGCUUCCCUCGCUACGAGCUUGGGGUCGCCCGAGCGCGCACGGCGGGACCCGAAAGGUGGUGAACUAUGCCCGAGCAGGACGAAGGCAGGGGAAACUCUGGUGGAAGUCCGCAGCGGUUCUGACGUGCAAAUCGAUCGUCGGACUUGGGUAUAGGGGCGAAAGACUAAUCGAACCAUCUAGUAGCUGGUUCCCCCCGAAGUUUCCCGUAGGAUAGCUGGCGCUCGCGACUCAGUUUUAUCCGGUAAAGCGAAGGAUUAGAGCGAGCUGGGGCUAGUUGCCCUGGCACUAUUCUCAAACUUUAAAUGGGUAAGGAGCCGGCGCCCUUGAACGUGGGCGUCGGACGCGAAUGAGAGUGCCUAGUGGGCCACUUUUGGUAAGCAGAACUGNCGCUGUGG
rnacentral:rRNA from 1 species